UUUAAUUGAAGAGUUUGAUCAUGGCUCAGAUUGAACGCUGGCGGCAGGCCUAACACAUGCAAGUCGAACGGUAAC
rnacentral:rRNA from 1 species